GGGACACAGUCUAGAUGCAAAGCAUUUAAACCUAAGUCCAAGUCUACUAUCUGAAUGUAAAUUGAAUCCUGUACUCUCCUCAUGCCCAAAACUCUCUGUGUGGGGUCAGGGGGCUCUGGGAGCUGGUUGGGUUUGUUGGAAGGUGCCCUGUCCUGUGUUUGCUCUACAUCCUGUGCCAGGGAGAUGGGGAGCAUGAGGACAUUCCAGACCUGCUGGAGCAAGACAAACUGCAGCACUGUCACAGAGCUGCUGUGAGUUAGGGCUGGAAGCUAGGAACAACACAGUAGAGACAAGAAGGAAGCCUGUGAUGUGCAGGGGGAGGCCAUGAGCCUGCCUGCUCAGGAGCUGCCUGGUCCCACAGGAACACGGUCCCACUGAGCAGCACCUUGCUGCAAUGGCUUGUAUGAUUUCACUGUCUCUGCUGCACACUGGAGCAUUCCAGAAAUGGAGGAAGCAUUAAAGUUGUUUGGGUGCAAGCAGCACGCUGGCCCUACUGGGAUUCAAGCAUCUCCUAGCAACCAAGAGGGGCUGGCUAUCCCCAGAACACUGUGCUUGUUUUGAGGAGCCACGCUGGAGCUGAGCUCUAGAUAGAAGGCCAAAGAAAAAAAUCAAAUCCUGGGAUGGGGUUAUUAUAGACCCAUCUUUUCCACAGGGUACAGUAACU